rnacentral:rRNA from 1 species
CCUACGGGAGGCUGCAGUGGGGAAUAUUGGACAAUGGGGGCAACCCUGAUCCAGCCAUGCCGCGUGUGUGAAGAAGGCCCUCGGGUUGUAAAGCACUUUCAGUGAGGAAGAACGCCUGGUGGUUAAUACCCAUCAGGAAAGACAUCACUCACAGAAGAAGCACCGGCUAACUCCGUGCCAGCAGCCGCGGUAAUACGGAGGGUGCGAGCGUUAAUCGGAAUUACUGGGCGUAAAGCGCGCGUAGGUGGCUUGAUAAGCCGGUUGUGAAAGCCCCGGGCUCAACCUGGGAACGGCAUCCGGAACUGUCAAGCUAGAGUGCAGGAGAGGAAGGUAGAAUUCCCGGUGCAGCGGUGAAAUGCGUAGAGAUCGGGAGGAAUACCAGUGGCGAAGGCGGCCUUCUGGACUGACACUGACACUGAGGUGCGAAAGCGUGGGUAGCAAACAGGAUUAGAUACCCGUGUAGUC